rnacentral:rRNA from 1 species
UGGGGAAUCUUGCACAAUGGGGGCAACCCUGAUGCAGCGACGCCGCGUGAGCGAUGAAGCCCUUCGGGGCGUAAAGCCCUUUCGACCGGAACGAUAAUGACGGUACCGGGAGAAGAAGCUGCGGCUAACUACGUGCCAGCAGCCGCGGUAAUACGUAGGCAGCAAGCGUUGUUCGGAGUUACUGGGCGUAAAGAGUGCGUAGGCGGUUUUCUAAGUUCGGUGUGAAAUCUCCCGGCUUAACUGGGAGGGUGCGCCGACGACUGGGAAGCUGGAGUGUGGGAAAGGCAGGCGGAAUUCCUGGUGUAGCGGUGAAAUGCGUAGAUAUCAGGAGGAACACCGGCGGUGUAGACGGCUUGCUAGACCAUAACUGACGCUGAGGCACGAAAGCGUGGGUAGCAAACA